ensembl:lncRNA
GAGAAGAUAUAAUAAUAAUAAUAAUAAUAAUAAUAAUAAUAAUAAUAUUAAAAAACAUUUCAACUAACAUUUCAGAACCAGAGAGAUUCACAGCAGAUUUCUACCAGCCUUUCAAAGAUCUACAACCAUUCCUUCUUAAAGUAUAAAAGAAAGAAAGAAAGAAAGAAAGAAAGAAAGAAAGAAAGAAAGAAAGAGAGGGGGAAGGUGGGAGUGAGGGAAGGAAGGAAGGAAGGAAAGGAGGAAGAAAGGAACAGGCGCACUCUCAAACUCCUUCUACAAAGCCAGUAUCAUGCUAAUACCAAAACCAUGUAAAGACAAAAACAACUACAGGCCAACAUCCCUGAUGAGCAUUGUCAAAAAUACUUUCAAACAUAGAGUUCAAUAAAAUACUUGUAAACAGAAUGCACCAAAAUUAUUACACACCAUGACCAAGUCAACUUUAUCCUUGAAAUGCAGAGAUGGUUUAACAUCUACAAGACAAUGUAAUAAAUCACACAAAUAGACUUAAAACAUGAUCAUCUCAAUAGAUACAGAAAAAGCAUUUGACAAAAUUCAACAGACCUCUAUGAUAAAAGUUCUAGAGGAUGAAGAAUUAGAGGGAACAUACCUCAACACGAUGAAAGUUAUACACAAGAAACCCACAGCCAACAUCAUCUUAAAUGAAAAAAACUCAAAGCAAUCCCACCUAUUGUGGGAAUUACCAAUACGGAGCCAAGUAAAAAUACAAGGGAAUUUAUUAGGGAAAAGCCUUACUUACAAAGCAACCUAGCCAGCCGGCUGGGCAGCAGUAAGUACAGCAAGCUGAAAAUGAAACAGAAGAAGGGGCGGCCACGUGAGCACCCUCACUCUCAAACCUUCCCUACAUUACCACGCCCUCGUAGGUGUGGUCAGACACACCUGUAGCCAGCCCCUAGCAGGUGUGGCUACAGUGUCCCCUACAAUUCCCCUUUUAUUCUAAAAGAGGAUUAAAUCUUAACAGUGUAAAGUAUCCAAAAUUAACAAUCAUAAAGGUGAAAUAAAAGAAGAUACAACAAUCUGCUUAUAUUACAUCCUAACUAUAUCUAUUUUAACUAAACCCUAAAGUCAUCUGAAAGAGGUGUCCAAGCAUGAACACCUCCUUCCAAUCUCAACCAUAAACAAUAGGAAGCUAUCCCUAACUAGGUAUAUACACUAUCCUAAGUGACAACAAUGGGUAAAGGGGACAUAGCAUCCUCCAAGUUACUUCCUGCUGAAAUGGGACGGCAAAAGCCUCGUGGAGUCCUGUAGGAAGAAAAUGUUAGUAUAGUGAAAGUCUUGAAUGGAUUGUAUCCAGUCCAUGUUAGUUGGGAUUUGCUUGAUUGAAGAUAUCGAUUGAAAUCCUCAACUUGAUUGAAGACAGUACCCAAAACUCUGACCGGAGUGUCAGUUGAAAUAGAGCAAGUUGGAUCCAGUGCAGUCGAGGAGGUGUGGCCCAUUUUCUUUCCAGGGUAUCCAGGGAUUGCUGUCAGGCACGUCUUCAUUGGCUGUGUGUGACUCAAACAUAAGUAUUAGCAGAGAAAUGUUUGCUUGUAAAUAUCCACUCCAAUAUGGUGUCUUCCCUCUGCAUCAGAACUCAAGAAGGGUAUUCUCUGGAUGGCAAGAUAACCAGAAUACAGUCUAAAUCAAGGUUUAUCUGAUCUACAUGUGCAUCCAAUAUUCUGUUUUCUUCCCAUUGUAAUUCUUUUUCUGUAUCAGCAGAUAGUAUUCGAGGACUGUUUAGGUCCUUAUCACCUUUACGGGUCAUUUUUAAAUACUUUAAGUCAUGUCCUUCUACACCAAUAAUUGUCUGCAGCUGAGAAAU